ACUCAACAUUUACAACCUAAUAAAGGGUAAGUGGAGUUGUUAAAGCGAGCCGUCCUAGAACGGAUACUUGACCAACUCAGUAGCCCUAAACCUGUUUUUAGGAGUUU
rfam:Capnocytophaga cynodegmi strain Ccyn2B genome assembly, contig: CCYN2B_Contig_11